CACCAGUUUUGAACUACUAAUUCUGUCCUUACAAGUUGGGGUAACUUUAAAAGUUCUGCAUGCCAAGCCACUCCCGAGGGGCUGGAUGAGAGGAGGUCUUGCAGGAAAAACUCCUAAGAAUAACCAUGCCUGCGGAGAAAAUUUAGGUUGACGCUUAUAUUUUGUUGAUGUUGAAGUUAGCAAUAAAGUUAUUCCCCCUGAAGAAGUUAUGUUUGAACUAUAUAGGUAGAGUAUGUGUAUUCUGUUCAAAACAUCAUCUGGUUACAGACAUCUUUCAGUAUAACAACCACGAGGACUUAAAAUAGCCUCUACCCCUUAUCAGACAUUUUGCUUGUUCUAUACUGAUGAUCGUUUUUCAUCAUACGGUUGCCCACACCAAACAAUAUGCCAGCAAGAACUUGAUGUGGCCGGGGAACAAGUUGGGACCACAUUCCGAGUGCAUGAAUUUUUGAGGGCAAGACACAUUGAGUUACUUCUCAUGAGACAGAUUCAGGUGUGAUUCUGCUAGCACUGAGGUUGCAAUACAAGCGAUAUGUGACUGUAAUGUAUUAUAGAUUCUAGAAGCUCCGGAUUGAUACCUUGUUCAACCCCCAAACAAUAAAUCAAGAUUAAAAACUUCUUGAAAAUGAGAAAAGAAGUGCUUUUAAUGACGUUUGAACAAGACUGCUGUUGUUGUUCAUUCCAAUAAGUUAUCAUUUAAGAGUUAUUUGAAGGCCCACAAGCUGAAAAUAUUUGUUUACUAAAUUUACUGUAUAGCUAAAAUGUCUUAUUUCUAUACAUGCAAGUUUGUAGUUUUUCCUCUUUACAGUUAUUUGCCUUAUGCUGUCACCUAGUACAAUCAUCACAGUACCAAACACAAUAGAAAGGGGAGUGUUUGCACAUGCUGUCACUGUGAAAACACCCUUGCUUCCUGUCUCAAUCUGAGAACUAGAGAGUAGUGACUGCACACAGGUCAUAAUCUGUGGGCCUGAUUCUGAUCUGACAGUGGUGUGAAUUAAGUGUAAUUUAUUGGGUUAAAUGGAGUAACGAUGGCUAACAUUGAAACCAGUGCUGUUUCACGAGUUUAAACAUGAGAGAUCAGAAUCAGGCCCUAUUUGUCAGUUUCCGCUGUAACUUUCACUCUCCCCUGCCAUCUCAAUUUAGCACUCUGAUAGUAGCUGGCUCCUCCAAAUGUUUGGCUCACACAUCUUGGACUUGAAAAUAUUCUCUUCUGGUCAUGCAGGAGGAGAGAUGAGUGAUUUUAGGACCUGAUACACGUGAUUUAUACACACAACCUCUUUCUCUCUCCUCCCUCUCAGAUGUUAGCCACAAGUUUAGUUUGGAUCAACAAAGUCAAAGCACAGAAUAUUUUUAGAGUUAUAUUAAUGAUACACUGAUAUUAACAACCCAGAGGAAGAGACAUAAGAUAAACACAAAUAAAAAAUAACUAAAUGGAAGUGUUGUUACAUUUAAAUCUAGCUAGUAUAGGAAUCUAAAGGCUGAGACUUGAAAUUGCAGAAACUAUAUUUAGCUUCUCCCAAGCAUAUUUAGAGAGAGCAGACUUGCCUGCUGUAGGGCCUAUGUAGCUGGCAGACUACCCAGCCCUGAUGAAAUGUGGACCUUCUGCUGUCCUGGAACUUGUCCAGUUGUCUAAAUUUAUGGCAGCCCACUGACCACCCUUUUCCUGGCAAGACAGGAUCUAUGGUUUCUCCCCCUCACUGAUGACUUUUGAAAUACCUCAAAACUGUCAAUUCAAGUAGGACUAAAAUAGAAUAACUCCUGUUUCUAAGCUGUGCUGUAUUCAGGAUGAUAUUUUCUCAGGACGACUGCAAUGAUGGGAUAUUUGAUUACAUUCAUUGGAUUUGAGUCUCUAGCUUGACACCACUGUAACUCAAGUAAUUGACAUGGAGUUAAUCCUAUUUUACACCCAUUGUCCUUUCAGGGAAUGGAGUUAAUGUCCUUAAUCCUCAAAUCCAGCCAACCUGCUUGGUGUAGGGCCCACGCCCUCAUUCCAAGACUGGCCAGGAGUUGUUACUUCCAGUCCCAUUCCCAGCUCUAACUAGUUCUGGCUGGUAAUAGACUCCAAGGGACUGUAACAUCAGAUGGGCACUGCUGGAGCCCUACUCUGACCACACUCCAGGCAGUCCUCCUGGUUAUGCCAACUUUAUGCCACCCACAGAUUCCUCCAUGCUGGGUGAAUGCUGGGUUAGGGCAGCUUUACAGCCCCUCUGAACUGUCAGGACAUCCUAAAGGGGCUAUAUUGGGACUGAGGAUCUGGCCCAUUUUUCUCACUGCUUGAAAGUCAUUAUUUUAAAAAGUCCUGGUGCAGUUUAAACUGUAAGUUCUGUGGGUCACAGUUUCCAAUUUGUAUGGCACUUUUAUGCAUUGUAUGUUAGAUGUAAUAUGAAUACUUACAUGUUAAGCGGUUAAUAUUUCUCUUUUCCGGAGUACAUGAAUAGAUUCUUAGUGAUUAUCUGUACCAGAGCAUCCUCCCUUCAAAGAAAAUAACAAUACAAAUAACAUUGACAAUGACAAGAUUAUUACCAUUUUUCUAAAUACUGGCUUUUUGUGUGUGCAGGCAUGUGUGAAUUAUUCCUUUUGCCCUGUUAAAAUGAUGUUCUCGUGAGUUUUAGAAACAAGACUCUGGAUGUUCUUCCUUUUCUCAGUUUAUGCCACAACCUUUAAAAGGAAAAGCUUUUUCAAUAGGCAGAUCACAUGGUUCCAUUGUCUAACUGCACAUAAAUGGUGUAGAAUCAUGCAAAUUGGUAUCGGUUUACUCAUCCAUGUUUUUAAUAAUGAAUAGGUAUGAAAAAGUCAGGUAGCCCUCUGGGAAAAUCUGUUUAAUUCUUUAAUUGUAUAAUUCAAUCCACAGUGCAUCAUCAGAUGAAUAAUUGGUUCUGAUGUUCUGAAGUCUGCAUUCCAUGCUGGUUUCUAGAAAAAUGUCUACAUUCCCUUUGCUAAUUGAAAGAAUCUGAACUGACUUCCAACUUAUUAUGAUGGGUUCAAAGUAUCAGAGGGGUAGCCGAGUUAGUUUGUAUCCACAAAAACAAUGAGGAGUCCGGUAUCUGAAGAACACACCAUGCAUCUGAAGAAGUGGGUUUUUUACCCACGAAAGCUUAUGCCCAAAUAAAUCUGUUAGUCUUUAAGGUGCCACCGGACUCCUCGUUAUUUUUAUGAUGGGUUGUUUGCCUAUGGUAUUGCCUAGUUCACUAAUCAGGGCCCCUCUUUGUAGCAUCACAAACUUAAUGCUACUGCAUAUCAAAAUGUAGCUUUUUAUGCCUCUACCUAUCCUUAACUUUUUUAAACCAUAUAAUUGCUGGUAAAAGAAUGUCUGAGAAGUUUAUUAAAAUAAUAACACCACCUCACUCUUGUACAAAGGAGGUCAGUAUCAUUAUAGCCAUUUUACAGAAAGAAAAACUGAGGCACAGGGAAGGAAAUAACUUACCCACAGUCAUACAGCAGGCCAAUGGCAAAGUAGAACCCAGGUCUCCUGCGUCCCAUUCCAGUGCUCUGUCCACUAGGAAACACUACCUCUCAUGUAGCUAUAACAAACUAUACAGGCUCUGAUUUGGUGAGAGAUAUGGUGCACAUAUAUUUUUAAAUAAAAAUCACUUUUUCUUUACAAAGCAGUUGCUUUGAUUCAUUAGAUAUGUAUAUUCUAGCAGACUGAAAUUCACCCUGGUACAGAAGACUAGACCAAGGCCCUUUGUACCACUUAAGAUCCCCAUCAGAGUUAUGUAGGGGGUCUUUGGACCACAGGAUGGAUUUAGCUGAUGCUGGGCUGGCACAGAAGAUCACUUGGGAAGUGGGCUGGAAUGGUUUGGGGGGAAGUCAAAGGAAGAGGCUUUGGAUCCACGGUUUUCAUGGGGUCACUGGAUCUACAAUUCCCUACCCAACUGGUGUGAAGGGGCUACAGAUGGAGCACCAGCUGUACGUGUGUGGAAAUCCAGCCUGGCUAGGGGUACAGGAGAGAACCCGAACACUAGGGCUUUAUGUGAAUGGACUGAAUUUCACACUUAGUGCUCAUGAUUAUACCUUUCAAAUAGUCUGUUAUAUUAAUUGAACUGUGAUUGGCUUGUAUAUGCAUACCAGCAGUAUUUGAUUAUGCUCCAAAUGACACACAUCAAUGGGUUUAGUGUACACAGCCAUCUUGCUGAUUAAUUUACACAAUACAUGAAAUUUAGAUAAAAAGGGGCACAGCACCUGUACCUUGCACUUCAAAUAAUGCUCAUCAGUAACUGCAACCUAAGGAAUGAAGGCGUUCUUUGUGGAAGAGAACUUAGUAACCACAGCAUAUACACAACCUCUAAUUUGAAUAAAAUUCCCUUGCUCAGAAAUAACCUCUCUGUAAAUAUUAAAGCGCCAUCAUAC